CCUACGGGGGGCAGCAGUGAGGAAUAUUGGUCAAUGGACGAGAGUCUGAACCAGCCAAGUAGCGUGAAGGAUGACUGCCCUAUGGGUUGUAAACUUCUUUUAUAUGGGAAUAAAAUGUUCCACGUGUGGGAUUUUGUAUGUACCAUAUGAAUAAGGAUCGGCUAACUCCGGGCCAGCAGCCGCGGUAAUACCGAGGAUCCGAGCGUUAUCCGGAUUUAUUGGGUUAAACGGGAGCGUAGGUGGAUUGUUAAGUCAGCGGUAAAAUUGAGAGGCUCAACCUCAUCGAGCCGUUGAAACUGGUUUUCGUGAGUGAGCGAGAAGUAUGCGGAAUGCGUGGUGUAGCGGUGAAAUGCAUAGAUAUCACGCAGAACUCCGAUUGCGAAGGCAGCAUACCGGCGCUCAACUAACGCUCAUGCACGAAAGUGUGGGUAUCGAACAGGAUUAGAUACCCCAGUAGUC
rnacentral:rRNA from 1 species